rnacentral:rRNA from 1 species
CCCUUAGAUGUUCUGGGCUGCACGCGCGCUACACUGAUGCGAUCAACAAGUUUUCCUAUGUCGAUAGACACGGGUAAUCUUUUGAACUCGCAUCGUGAUGGGGAUAGAUUAUUGUAAUUAUUAAUCUUCAACGAGGAAUUCCUAGUAGGUGCAAAUCAUCAGUUUGCAUCGAUUACGUCCCUGCCCUUUGUACACACCGCCCGUCGCUGCUACCGAUUGGUUGAUCUGGUGAAUUAUUCGGACUGCCGGCUGAAGGGGUUUCCUCAUCUGCCAGCGGAAAGUCUUGUUAACCCUAUCAACUAGAGGAAGCAGAAGUCGUAACA